ACUCAAAGGAAUAGACGGGGGCCCGCACAAGCAGCGGAGCAUGUGGUUUAAUUCGAAGCAACGCGAAGAACCUUACCUAGACUUGACAUCUCCUGAAUUACUCGUAAUGGAGGAAGCCCUUCGGGGCAGGAAGACAGGUGGUGCAUGGUUGUCGUCAGCUCGUGUCGUGAGAUGUUAGGUUAAGUCCUGCAACGAGCGCAACCCUUAUCAUUAGUUGCUACCAUUAAGUUGAGCACUCUAGUGAGACUGCCCGGGUUAACCGGGAGGAAGGUGGGGAUGACGUCAAAUCAUCAUGCCCCUUAUGUCUAGGGCUACACACGUGCUACAAUGGGUAAUACAAAGAGAAGCAAUACAGUGAUGUGGAGCAAAACUAUAAAAUUACCCUCAGUUCGGAUUGUAGGCUGAAACUCGCCUACAUGAAGCUGGAGUUGCUAGUAAUCGCGAAUCAGCAUGUCGCGGUGAAUACGUUCCCGGGCCUUGUACACACCGCCCGU
rnacentral:rRNA from 1 species